rnacentral:rRNA from 1 species
UGUGCCUACGGGAGGCAGCAGUGGGGGAUAUUGCACAAUGGGGGGAACCCUGAUGCAGCGACGCCGCGUGAGCGAAGAAGUACCUCGGUAUGUAAAGCUCUAUCAGCAGGAAAGAAAAUGACGGUACCUGACUAAGAAGCCCCGGCUAACUACGUGCCAGCAGCCGCGGUAAUACGUAGGGGGCAAGCGUUAUCCGGAUUUACUGGGUGUAAAGGGAGCGUAGACGGCAGCGCAAGUCUGGAGUGAAAUGCCGCGGCCCAACCCCGGAACUGCUCUGGAAACUGUGACGCUGGAGUGCAGGAGAG